UGCCAGCCGCCGCGGUAAUACCGGUGGCUCGAGUGGUGGCCGCUAUUAUUGGGUCUAAAGGGUCCGUAGCCGGCCUGAUAAGUUACCUGGGAAAUCCGGUGGCCUAACCAUCGGGCGGCCAGGUAAUACUAUCAGGCUCGGGACUAGGAGAGACCAGAGGUACUCAUGAGGUAGGAGUGAAAUCCUGUAAUCUUAUGAGGACCACCAGUGGUGAAGACGUCUGGUUAGAAUAGGUCCGACGGUGAGGGACGAAGGCUGGGGGCGCAAACCGGAUUAGAUACCCGGGUAGUCCCAGCAGUAAACGAUGCCAGCUAUGUGUUGCUGGAACCAUGGGUUCCAGCAGUGCCGAAGGGAAGCCGUGAAGCUGGCCACCUGGGAAGUACGGUCGCAAGGCUGAAACUUAAAGGAAUUGGCGGGGGAGUACCACAACCGGUGGAGCCUGCGGUUUAAUUGGAUACAACGCCGGGAAUCUUACCGGAGGGGACAGCAGUAUGAAGGCCAGGCUAAAGACCUUGCCAGAUCAGCUGAGAGGAGGUGCAUGGCCGUCGCCAGUUCGUACCGUGAGGCAUCCUGUUUAGUCAGGCAACGAUCGAGACCCGCAGUCUUAUUU
rnacentral:rRNA from 1 species